CACGUAGGGCGCAAGCGUUGUCCGGAAUUAUUGGGCGUAAAGAGCUCGUAGGCGGCCUGUCGCGUCGGCUGUGAAAACCCGGGGCUCAACCCCGGGCCUGCAGUCGAUACGGGCAGGCUAGAGUCCGGCAGGGGAGACUGGAAUUCCUGGUGUAGCGGUGAAAUGCGCAGAUAUCAGGAGGAACACCGGUGGCGAAGGCGGGUCUCUGGGCCGAUACUGACGCUGAGGAGCGAAAGCGUGGGGAGCGAACAGG
rnacentral:rRNA from 1 species